ACCCUUUUUAUUAUUGGGGUUGUCUUUUUCGUUCUUGGUGGAUGGAGUUGGGCGGAAGUUAAGCUCACGGCCCCUUUAAAACCGCUGAGUUUUCCUUUCAUUUCCGUUUAUCCUCUGGCAUGGUAUGCGGGUUGCGUUCGUUUGUGUCGCAAGAAUGAUUUAUUAUGCGUUAAGCAUUGAGCGCUGAUUCAGUGGCGUAGACCUGCAUAAGGGGGAAAAUCCCUUUACCUCUCGGCUUGGGCCUGUGGAAGUGCAACUGCAUAAAUUAAGUGUGAUCAAGGCAGUAUUGGUGGUUUGUUCACCGUGUGAUCAAGGCAGUGUUGGUGGUUUGUUCACCGUGCUUACCGAGGGUCUGUUAAUUGUGCUGCAGAAUCUGCCCGCUGUUGCUUUGCUGCUGCGGGGCGGCGUGUUACUGUGAUCCGUGGGCUGCGCGCUGGAGAUUGGAGAGUGCGCGCUCCAGUCCCAUUGACUACUUUAAAGACGCAUGUUUAUAUGCGCUGAGCUUCAUGUGAAUGAGUUUUAUGCGAGCGUGAGCCAGGGCGAGUGCGUGUUUGAAUGACUAUAUUGUGUCUGCUGGAGUGACGAUAUUGUGCGUGGUUGGGUGAUUAUAUUGUGUGUGCGGUUGAGUGACUAUAUUAUGUGUGUAUGGUGAGA